rnacentral:rRNA from 1 species
CCUACGGGUGGCAGCAGUGAGGAAUAUUGGUCAAUGGACGCAAGCCUGAACCAGCCAUGCCGCGUGCAGGAAGACGGCCCUAUGGGUUGUAAACUGCUUUUGUACAAGGGUAAACCUGAAUAUGUGUAUUCUGCUGAAUGUACUUUAAGAAUAAGGAUCGGCUAACUCCGUGCCAGCAGCCGCGGUAAUACGGAGGAUCCGAGCGUUAUCCGGAUUUAUUGGGUUUAAAGGGAUCGUAGGCGGAUUGAUAAGUUAGGUGUGAAAUUUCCGGGCUUAACUGUGGAACUGCAUUUCAUACUGGUGAUCUAGAGAAUAGAUGCGGUAGGCGGAAUGUAUGGUGUAGCGGUGAAAUGCUUAGAGAUCAGACAGAACACCGAUUGCGAAGGCAGCCUACUAAUCUUUAACUGACGUUGAGGCACGAAAGCGUGGGGAGCAAACAGGAUUAGAUACCCUUGUAGUC